rnacentral:rRNA from 1 species
CAGCAGCCGCGGGAAUACAUAGGGUGCAAGCGUUAAUCGGAAUUACUGGGCGUAAAGCGUGCGCAGGCGGUUUGUUAAGACAGAUGUGAAAUCCCCGGGCUCAACUUAGGAAUUGCAUUUGUUACUGUGCAGCUAGAGUACGGUAGAGGGGGGUGGAAUUCCGGGUGUAGCAGUGAAAUGCGUAGAUAUCCGGAGGAAUACCGAUGGCGAAGGCAAUCACCUGGACUAGUACUGACGCUGAGGUACGAAAGCGUGGGGAGCAAACAGGAUUAGAUACCCCAGUAGUCCCUGUCUCUUAUAC